rnacentral:rRNA from 1 species
GAGACAGCAGCAGCCGCGGUAACACCAGCACCUCGAGUGGUCAGGAGGUUUAUUGGGCCUAAAGCAUCCGUAGCCGGUUGCAUAAGUUUUCGGUUAAAUCUAUGCGCUUAACGUAUAGGCCGCCGAAAAUACUGUGCAGCUAGGGAGUGGGAGAGGUACACGGUACUCGAUAGGAAGGGGUAAAAUCCUUUGAUCUAUUGAUGACCACCUGUGGCGAAGGCGGUGUACCAGAACACGUUCGACGGUGAGGGAUGAAAGCUGGGGGAGCAAACCGGAUUAGAUACCCGGGUAGUCCCUGUCUCUUAUAA